rnacentral:rRNA from 1 species
UAUUAUACUAAUGAAUAUUAAUGAACCUAAAUUAUUAAUAGAUAUGAUCUUUAAAUUUGAAGAAUUUGGCGGUAGCUUAGUCUUGUUAGAGGAACCUGUUUUUAAAUCGAUACACCACGUGGAAUCUUACUUUCUUUACUUAGUUUGUAUACCGUCAUUAUCAGAUAAUUUUAAAAGAAUUAAUUAUUAGAUUUUAUGUUGUAUAAAUUAACUUAGAUCAAGGUGCAGCUAAUAGGAAAGUUAAAAUGGGUUACAAUAAAAUUUAUUUAUUAUGGAGUAAGUGAUAAAAGUGUAAUUAUGAAGGAGGAUUUAAUUGUAAUGUAAGUUUAAUAAGCUUAAAAGAUAUAAGCUCUAAGCUAU